CCCUUAGAUGUUCUGGGCCGCACGCGCGCUACACUGAUGCAUUCAACGAGUUUUUCCUUGGCCGAGAGGCCUGGGCAAUCUUUUAAACGUGCAUCGUGAUAGGGAUAGAUUAUUGCAAUUAUUAAUCUUGAACGAGGAAUUCCUAGUAAACGCAGAUCAUCAAUCUGCAUUGAUUACGUCCCUGCCCUUUGUACACACCGCCCGUCGCACCUACCGAUUGAAUGGUCCGGUGAAGCCUCGGGAUUGUGGCGGGUUCCCUUUAUUGGGAGUUUGUCGCGAGAACUUGUCUAAACCUUAUCAUUUAGAGGAAGGUGAAGUCGUAACA
rnacentral:rRNA from 1 species